CAGAUCCAUUCGGAUGAAUGAAAUUUUUGUGCUCUGAAGUAUUUUGUAUGUUUUUUGUUUGCCACACGGGGCAGCCACUUGAAGCGUGCUGCUGAUCUGAUGCCGGCAGCUAUUUGGAAACCGACUUCGCUCUUGACGCUCUUGAACUGUCAAAGAGGCGGUGCCCAUGGCACACAUGUUUACAAUCAGAAAUCACUUGGCAGCUGCCAACCCACCCGCUGGAAAGUGUGAAAAGUUCCAUGCUCGUUCCGCACAAACCUUGCAGCUAAAGUAUAUAUGUAUGUACAUAUCAUAUGUAUUGUAUAUCGGAGAUGCACGUAUGCAGGGCCAAGUGCAUUUCGAGAGUCAGUCUCGUUUGGCAUUCGGCCCGCGGCUACGCUGCCCCCCUUUGGCUCUAGUCGAACUCGACUCCCAGCUCAAUUAUCGGGUGAACAGGACUGUGGAGCCCACUCGGCAUUGCCCAGACCUUGGCCCAGCAGCAGGAAUAUGCAGGCAUAAACCCGGCCCCAGGGUGCACCAUGCAAAGGCCUGAGUUAUGGUUUGGUUUCAUCGAAUUCCUGCCAUCCAAAUCCAACAAAAAUGUCUGAAUUGAUUUCCUAUGAGCGCCCUAUCGCUUUCCCCCACCACAGAGCUCAGUCAUCCGCAAUCAGAGCCCCACUCCCGCAUCCCAGUGCCGCCACCGCCGCCGCCGCCACAGCAUUCCAAUCCGCACUCCGAUGUGUGAACAAGCAACCAGAACAGUUGAAGUAUUAUUAAAAAUCCAUAGCCCCAAA